rnacentral:rRNA from 1 species
UACAGAGGGUGCAAGCGUUGUCCGGAUUUAUUGGGCGUAAAGAGCUCGUAGGUGGUUCGGUAAGUCGGGUGUGAAACCUCCAGGCUCAACCUGGAGACGCCACCUGAUACUGCUGUGACUGGAGUCCGGUAGGGGAGCGUGGAAUUCCUGGUGUAGCGGUGAAAUGCGCAGAUAUCAGGAGGAACACCAGCGGCGAAGGCGGCGCUCUGGGCCGGUACUGACACUGAGGAGCGAAAGCGUGGGUAGCAAACAGG